UACGUAGGGUGCAAGCGUUGUCCGGAAUUAUUGGGCGUAAAGAGCUCGUAGGCGGUCUGUCGCGUCGGCUGUGAAAUCCCGAGGCUCAACCUCGGGUCUGCAGUCGAUACGGGCAAACUAGAGUAUUGCAGGGGAGACUGGAAUUCCUGGUGUAGCGGUGAAAUGCGCAGAUAUCAGGAGGAACACCGGUGGCGAAGGCGGGUCUCUGGGCAAUAACUGACGCUGAGGAGCGAAGGCCAGGGGAGCGAACGGG
rnacentral:rRNA from 1 species